AACGAACGCUGGCGGCAUGCCUAACACAUGCAAGUCGAACGAGACCUUCGGGUCUAGUGGCGCACGGGUGCGUAACGCGUGGGAACCUGCCCUUAGGUUCGGAAUAACUCCCCGAAAGGGGUGCUAAUACCGGAUAAUGUCUUCGGACCAAAGAUUUAUCGCCUUUGGAUGGGCCCGCGUUGGAUUAGCUAGUUGGUAGGGUAAAAGCCUACCAAGGCGACGAUCCAUAGCUGGUCUGAGAGGAUGAUCAGCCACACUGGGACUGAGACGCGGCCCAGACUCCUACGGGAGGCAGCAGUGGGGAAUAUUGGACAAUGGGCGGAAGCCUGAUCCAGCAAUGCCGCGUGAGUGAUGAAGGCCUUAGGGUUGUAAAGCUCUUUUAACCGGGAUGAUAAUGACGGUACCGGGAGAAUAAGCUCCGGCUAACUCCGUG
rnacentral:rRNA from 1 species